rnacentral:rRNA from 1 species
CCUGGUUGAUCCUGCCAGUAGUCAUAUGCUUGUCUCAAAGAUUAAGCCAUGCAUGUCUAAGUACAAGCCUCACUAAGGUGAAACCGCGAAUGGCUCAUUAAAUCACACCUAAUCUACUGGAUAGUUAACAGGUACUUGGAUACCUGCGGUAAUUCUGGAGCUAAUACAUGCGAAAAGCCUCGAACUUACGUGAGAGGCGCUUUUAUUAGAUCAAAACCAAUCGGCUUCGGCUGUACUCUUGGUGACUCUGAAUAACUUUGGGCUGAUCGUAUAGCCUUGCGCUGACGACAUAUCCUUCGAAGGUGUGCCCUAUCAACUGUCGACUGUGGCAUAGACGCCCACAGUGGUUUUGACGGGUAACGGGGAAUCAGGGUUCGAUUCCGGAGAGGGAGCCUUAAAAACGGCUACCACAUCUAAGGAAGGCAGCAGGCACGCAAAUUACCCAAUGAUCGAAGAUCGAGGUAGUGACGAAAAAUAACGAUCCAGGACUCAUCCGAGGCCCUGGAAUCGGAAUGAGUACACUUUAAAACCGUCCCCGAGGAUCUAUUGGAGGGCAAGUCUGGUGCCAGCAGCCGCGGUAAUUCCAGCUCCAAUAGCGUAUAUUAAAGUUGUUGUGGUUAAAAAGCUCGUAGUUGGAUCUCGGCGGACUGAGGGCGGUUUGCUUGCUAGUAUUACUGCCCUAUAGUCCGUAGUUUUGCCAGAGGUUUCGAGGUGCUCUUAAUCGAGUGUCCCGGGAUGCUGGCAGGUUUACUUUGAAAAAAUUAGAGUGCUCAAAGCAGGCUAUUACGCCUGAAUAUUCGUGCAUGGAAUAAUAGAAUAGGAAGUCGUUUCUAUUUUGUUGGUUUUCGGAAAUCGACUUAAUGAUUAAUAGGGACAGUCGGGGGCAUUUGUAUUCAAACGACAGAGGUGAAAUUCUUGGACCGUUUGAAGACAAACUACUGCGAAAGCAUUUGCCAAGAAUGUUUUCAUUAAUCAAGAACGAAAGUUAAAGGUUCGAAGGCGAUUAGAUACCGCCCUAGUUUUAACCAUAAACGAUGCCAGCUAGCGAUCUGCGGACGUUUUUUUUGUAGACUCCGCAGGAAGCUUCCGGGAAACCAAAGCAUUUGGGUUCCAGGGGAAGUAUGGUUGCAAAGCUGAAACUUAAAGGAAUUGACGGAAGGGCACCACC